AUGCGGGACGGGCCGCACGCGGUGCAGCACUCGUGUUGUGGAGAGGAGUCGGGGUUGGUUUCUAUCUUUGGUUAUCUAGCUGUAUGAGUGUUAAAAUCUGUCAUAAAGCUAGAUAACCGAAAGUAGGAAUUAUUCUCACGUUGCGCGCGAGCCGAAUUUGCCAGCUCUGCCCACCUAAAGCGACGUUGCAACAUGGCGCCGCGGAGGAGCAGCCGAGGGGCAACGCGAAGGCAGGAGAAAUGGCGGGAGGAAACGUCGCCCUUCGUCUUUAAUUGCCGCAGCCCCUUCCCCCACCGCUCUUACCCAUGAGCCUCUAGUGCCAUCUGUGACCCCCAUGGGAGACAAGCGGAGCCUUGCCUGUGCCAACGAAGGGACAAAGACCCUGCGAGGUGGGCACAGGAAGGGAGGCCAUUUUAGUGUCGAGAUCCUGCCGGAGCAUCUAAGAUGGCUGGACCGGCUGGCACUCGAGGUGUGAAGACCCGCUCAGAGCCGGACGGAUGGCACGGGGGAGUCGUGGCACAACUUCCAUUUCAACAGCCUGAUGGGCGAAGAAAGGAAAGAUGGAACUCUGUGUGCAGCAACCCAAUGGCAACAUUUUUAUUUAAUGCCUGCAGUGGAUUGUAAAAUAAAUAAAUUCUUUUCAGUCCA
rnacentral:lncRNA from 1 species